GUUCGACUUCCAAAAUGUUUGGAAACCACGGAAGGCCCGUUGGAUGUUCAGCUUCCAAAAAUAGUUUGCAAACCGGAACACUGACUUCCAGGUUUGCUACAUUCGGGAGCCAAAACGUUCAAGAACUAAGCUGUUCGGAAACCAAGGUAUGACUAUACAGAGAAAAUGUCAUAAGGUACUUGCAAGUGUUUAAGUUCCGCAGAUCAAAGUGGUUCAGUAGGCAUGUAGGGGGCAAGGCAAUCCCUCAGCUAAACAAGUUCCAAGCUGUUAAGGGCUGCAUAUACUUGGAGACCUUGGAUGUGGGCCAGUGGCAAAUUGGCAGCUAGUGCAGAACUUUGAGCAGAGGUGAACUAUGCUAGCAGAAUCUCAUUUGGGUCAGCAACCAAACUGCAACAUUCUGUAGUAACUGCAGAUUCCAGACAAAUUGCAAGGAAAGCCCCACAUAGAUUGCUCUGCAGUAAUGCAGUCUUGAAGUUACCAAUGCCUGAAUUACUUCGGUCAAGCUAUCCAGCUCCAGGAAUGGCUACCACUGCCACAUCUGAUGAGACUCUGGGAAGGUGCUCCUAGCCACAGGGGUCAGCUGGGUCUCUAGUAAACAGGUCCAUUUUUCAGAUAUACGAACUACUCAUCCACAACACUUGCUGGAAUUCAAACUUACUUUAUUCACUCUAAUCUAGCUCACCACUGUAUCCAGGUCCUGGUCCAGGCCUGCAUAGCCUCCUUAGUGAGAUGCCAUUGAGAAAUAGAGCUAAGUGUCUCAAAUCACCUAAUGUAAUGGUUCUAGGGGUUGCUCGUGCGUAAGCAGGUACCUAUCUCCCCGGCUGGGUGGAAACACCUGGCUGGGUUGCCAAAGUGAACCUUUUUCUGUCCGGACAGCCACUCACCCGUGGCUGACUCAAUCGCUGGCAGAAUCCGUGAGUGGGCGUUUCUUAAACUACUUCCAGCAAAGAAGUUCUUUGACGCCUAGUCUCCGCCUACCCUCUCUGCGCGGAAGCCUUCUGCACAGGGAGGGCGUGGGCAACGGAGGACCCCUACUCUCCCCGCUGGUCCCAGGCAAGGAGUCAUGAGACCGCCUCGCCACUUCCCCCAGCUGCCCCCCUUCUCCACUGGUGCUACGCUGAUUCUCUUCCCCAGAAGAUGGGCUGCUCCUCCCGAUCCCUGGACGCUCUCUGGAAUCCCUCUGGCUUUUGCUCUCCCCCUCCAGUACUGAUGGCAGUUCACUGACACCUAACAAUAUGAAAAGCUAAGAAGAAACAUAGGUCUUUCCUUUGCUCAGGUGUUUGUCUAUCUGAAGCAUAAGAAACUAUUGAAUUUCAAGGUGAUGUUCAAGACAGAAUGUGAUGGUACUGGGGAAAGGCUGUAACUCAGUGGUUGAGCAUCUGCUUUCUAUGCAUGAGGUCUUAGGUUCAGUCACCAGCAUCUCCAGGUAGUGUUGAGAACGGUUUCCUUGUCUGAAAUCGUGGAAUUUUGAAGGGUGUCUGUAUUUUGGUUCUCAUAUUUCAGAAAGUAUGAAUUUGGUAGAUUCAGCUUUCAAUAAGAACUAAAUCGAAUUUGUCCCUCAUCCCUAGUCAUAACAUGCAUGUUCCUGACUGGGGUGGUGGUGGUACAGAGUUACAUAAGAGAAUGACACAUUUCCUGUUUUUUUUACUAGAUUUGGAAUGUUUGUUUGUGUUCCUGAAACUAAAAGGACAUGAAUAGAACUGCCCAAGAUUGACCUCUAAGUAAAGGACGCUUUCAUGAGCCACGCUGAGGACUGCUUCGCACAAUACAACAACCAAAAGGAGUCCACAUGAAACUGUUCCAUACACCUUGUGGCUUUUGUUCUUCACUGGCAAAUAUCCUUUUCCGUGGCUUUUCAUAGAAUGCAGCCAAAUUAAGAGGUCAGGCUGAUCUAUAUGACAAACCAGUAUGUACAAAAUGGCUUGCUGCAAGGAGCUCUUGCCACCCAGAGGCAGUUUCAGGCUGGCAGUGCAUAUGGUGUCUGCAUUACAAAAUGUACCCCUUUCUUAAAAUGGUAUUUUUUAUUGUAUUCUUAAAAGUAAAUAAUGUAGAGUGAGUAAAUAAGAUAAAAACAUAGAUCCAAAGACUGCUAGAAAAUACUCAAAGAAAGAAAAAAGAAUGAACAACAAAGAUGAAACCUUAAGAGUUGCUUGUUAAGCUGACGUUUUUUAAGUUCCAAGGUGUAUUAAACUGAAUCUGAAUUUCAUCCAAUGCACAUCCAUAUUAUGUGAGGAAGUACAAAAACUGAUUUAAACAUCAUCUGUGAAAAUAGCCUAAGUUUUGUCUUGAUACAGGGCAGAUGACUGACUUUUUCCCAUUAGCUGGACUGGGAUUCUGCAAGUGGUCAGCACUCCUGUGGGUUACUGAGGGCAAUUAUGUACUUCUGCCUACAAGUCAAAGAUUAAAUGGUGGAAGAGUUAUGAGCAUUUCCAACCACCACACUUCUUAAUUAUUUACUUUCUUUUCUUAAACCUGAGCUCUGAAGGGAAAAUAUUUGCUCCUUUUUCUCUUCCUGCAAGCCCCUCUAAAACCAUUUAUUAUUAAAGAUCUUCUGGGGAAAGAUGAGGACAAAAAAGACUCCUAUCUAGCAAGCAAACAAACAAACUUUUUUGCUUACCUUAUUUUGCUUGCUCUAUCAUGUGUUGAAUUACUGAAUAAUAUCAAGUGAGAUCUAGACAUUUGGAUGAUAUAAUGUGGUGGAACAAUGUUUUGCUUGCAGCAAUUAUUUGUGAGUUUAGGCAUCUGCAACACGUUCAGGAUUUGUGUGAGAUAAGACUCUGAAAUAACUUUAACAUUGCCCUCCUCUGUCUAUUGUGAAUAAAAAGAUGAAUGCAGUUGGAGAAUAAAGUAUUACACAAGUGACUUCAGCAAAUCAGCGACACAGGCAGCAAAGGAAGGAGGCAGAUGUACAGAGAAACAAAUACAUAAAUAAGUUCUCUAACAUCUCAGUAAUCAAUCAGAACAAUUAUGUUUCUAACAACUCAUUCCCACAACAGUUUUUGGGUUUUUUUGUAAUUAAACAGGUCUCUUCCCUCUCCCCCCCUCUGGCCCCGCAUAUACUUUUCAUUAGGGUGGCAGUACUCACAUCUCAUUUACUGUGUGGACA
rnacentral:lncRNA from 1 species